UUAAUAGUUUAUGCUCAAUUAGGAGACGUUGCCAUUCUUAUUCUUAUAGUGUUUAAAAGGUGUAAAAAGUAGUGUGUGCACAGUGUGAAGGAAUGAAUGGGUCGGAUCUCUAAAAAGAGCAUCCUUGCAUUUCAUGAAUGAUCCUUCCGCAGGUUCACCUACGGAAA
rnacentral:misc_RNA from 1 species